AGUGCACGUCACUAGACAUAAAGGAAGUGUGAAUAAUAUAUACGAUAAAAUUAUUUAUGAAAACAAAUUUCCACUUAAAUCAGAAUGCAGUGUAGAAAGUUAAAUAGUUCUAUAAGUGGUUUACUUACGUUAAUUAUUUUCAUGCACAAACACACUCAUGGUUUGAAAUGCUAUGUCACAAAUAUCAGUCGUCAAAACGUAAACAGCGGAAACACAAUAAAAACGGGGUUUGUUUUACAAGAGUGUACAAAGUAUAUACAAAAUGCAUUCAAAAUCCAAGGCGAACGGCACGUGAAAUUACCAUCUAACAUAGAAUACAACUGCCACACAAUUUAUAUUCACACAGAUGCAGCAGAUAUUAAAACGAAAGGAUGUGUUCCAAGAGAUGGUUGCAAGUCGAUGACAAAAUCUAUAAAGCAGAUGGUACUAGCGAAAUCUCCUCUUUUAAAAGCUAAAAAUAUCACCUGCAUUGAGUGUUCCUCAGACCGUUGCAAUGAUGACCACAUCCCAUCUUCUGUUCGUAUUGGCAGUCAACUGAUGGAUGACAGCAAUUCGUCUCAUCAUAAUUUUAUAAAUUUUUUAUUAACAUUAGCUCCGUUGGCAAUACUUGUUGGGACACACAACUGAACGAAAUAAAAAAAAAAUGUUAUGUGAGACGUUAAGAAAUUGCCGUUACUUACCACGUAAUUAAUAGCUCAUUUUCUUAACGUAUAGUGCUCCAACGAAGACAGUGGGUUCAUGGUUUUGAAUUUUCCAAGCCUCUCGUUUGCGAACAAAGAGAAUCUUAAAUUAAAGCUAAAGAUAAGACAUGUCCUGUUUAGGAGAAGCGUGCCAGUCAAAUACACCGAAAAGCCGCUUUUAAUUUUAAGCUGCAUCAUUUGUUGUCAAGGUGGGGGAGUCAAAAUCGUAAAACCACUCCUCUCGUUGAUCCAUUAUAAUCAUUACCCACAUGUAUUUACAGAGGUAUAAAAAUAUGAUAAGCACACAAAUAUCUCUGUAAGGAAACAAUUUUCGUUAAUAAAUAGGAGUAUAAAUUUA